AUUGAACGCUGGCGGCAGGCCUAACACAUGCAAGUCGAACGAGCGGCGGACGGGUGAGUAAUGUAUGGGGACUGCCCGAUAGAGGGGGAUAACUACUGGAAACGGUAGCUAAUACCGCAUACUAUCGGAUAACCCAUAUGGGAUUCGCUAGUAGGUGGGGUAAAGGCUCACCUAGGCGACGAUCCCUAGCUGGUCUGAGAGGAUGAUCAGCCACACUGGGACUUAGACACGGCCCAGACGCCUACGGAGGCAGCAGUGGGGAAUAUUGCACAAUGGGCGCAAGCCUGAUGCAGCCAUGCCGCGUGUAUGAAGAAGGCCUUAGGGUUGUAAAGUACUUUCAGCGGGGAGGCGUUACCCGCAGAAGAAGCACCGGCUAACUCCGUGCCAGCAGCCGCGGUAAUAC
rnacentral:rRNA from 1 species